rnacentral:rRNA from 1 species
ACGAGCGGCAAUUGGUCGCCUACAACGGGACCCUCAGGUCAGGCGGGGCUACCCGCUGAGUUU